GCCAUGAUCAAAACCCAUCAUUUGAAAUAGAAGGCCCAAAUAAAACCAUUCCCCCAACAAUGGAAAACUCUAACCCGAAAACCCAUUCCUGAAACUAAUGCGCGCUGUCACCAAACCCAAAAAUGAGGACCUGUGCUUUGCUCCGGUGAUGAUCUGCUCCAGCGGCUGCUCCGGUGGCGAUCUAAUCCAGCGACUAAUUCGGAGAUGAUCUUCUCAGCAGCGUUAUCCUCCAACGAGAUUGUGUGCUCUCUCAAGCGACGAUCUCCUCUAGCAGGUUCUCCUCCGAUGGCACGUUCGCCUCUAGCUACAAUCUCUGUGUGAGAGCAAGAAACUUAAUAAAACUACGAGAUCUAUUGCGCAAGUGUUUCCUCUGACGAUCUUCUUCGGCGGCGAUCUCCUCUAUCAACGCUUCUCUUCCAUUGAUGAGAUCUGUUGCGCAAGUGUUUCCUACGGCGUCGAGUUGUGUUCUGUGAUUUCUCCAUCUCCAUCGAGCUUCAUUGAGCAUCUAGUUUUUUGAGCACUUGAAGAAAUACCUUGGUAUCAGGCAUGAAUUAGAUGGAGGAUUUACAUGGUCUCUCAUUCAUAGAACAGAAGACAACUCAAAGGCAUCUAGUAGGGGAAUGAUUAAUAUAAUAAUAUCAGGAACUAGCAGACAAGGUAGCAGCAGUUGGAUUAUUGGUUGUAGUUCCUGAUCUCCUGUAUGGUGACUACUUUAGUUAUGAUCCUCAAUUUGAUAGAGAAGGAUGGUUGAAGAAACAUGGAGAGACUCGUGAAAGGUUUCUGUCACUGAGAAAAGGCACAAAAAGUGAAGUAGCUAAUGCCCUAGAAGAGGGAAGCUCCUGUAUGUCUUAUAUGUUUGGGACAGCUUAUGUUCACACUCAACACUUGAAUAUCCCAUUCUUCGAACUCCUAAAUGAUUGGAUUGAAAAGAUCACAUGUGUUAUUGCCUCAUUAUUGAGUUCUCAGAUUCCUGAAAGGGUAACUACCAAAAACUUUUGCUUGAUAUGUUCCAGUGGAACUUCGGUUAAUUUUGAUUAAUGGUGCCCAAUUUUUUUAGUUAUUACUUGCAAGUCCAAUGGGAAGUGCUCAUAACAGGUCUACCAAUGAGAGUAGUUCUUUUGAAAGUCCAGAUUUCGAUCACACAGCUAUUGAAGAAUUUGCAGUAGAGAGAAAUCCUGCUACAACAAAUGUGGACCGCAACUCGAGAAGUUUGUAGCUGCAGCGAAUGAGAAGCCCAUUGAUGUGUUGCGAAAAGUGUGUGGGAAUGAUAGAUGUGCUGAUUGCGGUGUCCCUGAACCUGAUUGGGCAUCACUAAAUCUUAGUGUUCUUGUUUAAUUAAUAUGUAGAGUCCGUUCCUAAUUAAUAUCACCUUUAAUUUGGCAUUAUUUUAUCGACUGUGAUGCAGGAAAUGGCGCUUGUUGAAACAAAUAAUGUGCUAAGGAGUAAGGUAACACAUUUAUUUUAACAAAUAGUAAUUUAGUAAUGAGUAGUGUUAUGACAGGUGGAAGCUAAAGUAGUGAAUGUUAUGUCAUAGGUAUAAUCAUUCUGAGUUAUUAUUAUUAUUAUUAUUAUUAUUAUUAUUAUUAUUAUUAUUAUUAUUAUUAUUUGUAAUUGAAAGUGAAAGGGAUAGAUAGAUGAGAAGCUAAGGUAAUUGUCGGUUGAUUCUGAUGAGAAUUCAAAAUGCAUGAUUUGGCAGAAGCUUUUCACUUUCACUUUCAGCAUCAUAAUCCUAAUUAAUGCGAUGUUGCUUCAAUACAUUGCUCAUCAUUCUGUUAUAAGCAGUUGAUCAUAAAUUCCUUUUAUUUGCCAAAUUUUCAUCAUGUGUCAUAUUGUUAAAAAAGAAAAAAAAAUUAUGCUUUGUGUUUAA